ACUUGCCGUAGGUGGCUGAGCUGUGCUUGGAACCCAGUUUGGGCCAGUAUCGGUGGCUUUUGUUUCGUCCGCCUUCCUGAAUCACACACGAAAGCAAAAUGGAAAAUUACGCCAGGGGAAGCUCUUACCGUCUUCAUCACCAGAUCUGAGAUCAGCAAUGGGAAAUUCAGAGAACAGCGAGUGCAAAGUGCAGAGAGGGACAAGCAUAGGACACGGCUCCAGGGGACAGGAGCUCCACGCUUCAGCACGGAGCCCCAGCUUGGCAAGACGACCUGGUUAUAUUCUGCUGAUGAACCCCUGCCACCUGACAAGGGGACGAACCCAGCCUCGAGACUCCACGGGGAUUCACUCUGCUCGGUGAAGGUCUGCCCAGGGAGCACUGGUGUCCCCUUCACCCCAGCUUCCAAUGGGCUGUUCUGGAACGAGCCCUCCAGAACAACAGGACCCCUGGACUCUCCCUGGCCCCCGGCCCAUGCAAGGUUAGGAAAGGGUGAUCACAGCGCUCGAGUCUCGGUAAAAACUCAUGAAGCUGCUCCCUUCAGUGACUCCAGAAACAGAAGCUGGCUUUUCACGCAAGGGCCAAAAAGGAGAUGGUUGGGAAAGAACCGAGAUGUGAGAAGAGAAGCAGCACUGCUUUUCUCCUCCCGGGCAGCGAGCUCAGGCCCGGCGGACGGGCAGCGCCAUUUCUGGGACACAGCCCAGAGCCCUGGCUACGACCCUAAACCGUGUUUGCCUUGGCAAAGGAAGAAACGGGAUUUUUUCCUCUCCCCAAAGAACAGAUUCGGCUCCGGGACAACAGCUUCUGGUCCCAUCUCAGCCUGCGGGCGGCCAGGCCUGGGUCGCCAGGGGAGGUCGCUGUGCUCAGAGGCCCCAUCUCCAAGUCCAGGGGAGAGAGGGCGCUGUCGCCCCGGAAGUGGCUGCCGGGACUCAAGUGUGGCUGUUUUCGGUUUUGUGUUGCUUUGUUUACAAAAGAAAAGUGUUGAGAGUCACAGGCAAAUGGGAGGAGAAAAAGCCACCGGGCCACAUUAGCCAGGUGUGGGGUGGACACGGAAAGAGGCGAGACACAGGCUGAGGGGGAAGGGGCUGCAGAGACCGAGCGCAAGGGCAGGAUGGCCCGGGAUCUUCGCCACCCUGUCCCAGAAGGACGUGCGUCCUUACCUCCUCCGCGGUCACCAUGGCGAUCACGUUCACCCCCUGCUCCCACACCAUCUGCCAGAAGUCGUGGCACGUGUGAGGCAGGGGCCCCUGAGUCGCAAUGUAGUGCCAUUCUGCUCCCCCGACCACCACCUGCAGCCAAGGAAGCAUCGGCAAAUGAACCCCAAGACCAAGAGGCUCCCGUGCACACCUUGCUCAUGUGCGGCCACCUCCAAACCUGGUCGUACGCCGGGGGCCAAACGGGUCAGUAAUAGACAGUGGCACCUUCUCACAUGAGAAGACUUUGUUCGUCACUCAAAUCUAUCAAAAUUUAUUAUUAACCUUAUCUAUUUUUGUCUGCAAUUCAGUUAUUGCCAACUAGUGCACAUUAAAAGUAUAUGCAGAUAUUCAUACAGAGAUGCACACAACAGUGUAUGAGCGUAUAUCUGUACAACCUAACAGGGUUCGUUACAGAAACAAUAGCUAUGCAGCUCUGUGCAGCACACCCUGUGACUUGCAUUCUCUUGUCCAUCCUGGUCUAUUUCCUUAAAACAUACACAGAACCAACCAUUAAAGUGGCUCUCAAAUCCACCGCUGCGUUGAGAACCUGUUUGAAAAGCAGUCACCAUGGAGUAACUUCUAGGUAACGUCUUCCUCCUGCACAGACCUCACGGGUCACAAGCCCCUGUUGUCACUGCUGCUGUGUGACCCAUGUACAACAGGGAUGUCGCAAACCUGCCUCCACCAGCACCUAGUGUUCCAGCCACACCAUCACCCGGGGCACUGCCACUGGGUGCGACUCAGUGUGACUGAACUACGGAGUCACGAGGUCACCUGGGAUAAUGAAACUAUUACCCCACACAGCUCAGGACAAGCAUGGGAGGGUAAUUCUCCAGGUAUAAAUACCGGCUGCAGAGAAUCGGAAAUAAUAAGCUCAGCCCCACAUGUGGAAGGUGAUGCUAACAAGGGGAACAGCGGCCUCGGCAGGGACUCCUGUUCUCCUUCCACUCCUGCGCCUUGGCUUGCAAAGAGGCGCCUUCUUUAGGUCGGGUGUGGUGGCGCAUGCCUGUAAUCCCAGCACUCGGGGGGCUGAGGCAGGAGGAUCGCUGCAAGCUCGAUCAUAGUGAGUUCAAGGCUGCUGGCCUGAACUAUACAGUGGGACCCUGUUUCAAAAAAAAAAAGAGAGAGAGAGGCCUUCUUCUCACCCACUCAUGGAAGGCAGGAUGCCAGCAGGUUCCAGGAGCAAUGGCAUGAUUGCUGUUUGAAACUUUCCCCGCUUGUUUAUUUUAUGAAACAAUACAGUAACUCCAUUCAAGCAAAACCAAUGUCAGCCAUUGUCUCAUUACACGAGACAUGUUUAGGUCAAAGUUGGCACGAAAAAUCCAUUUUCCAAGUGCGGUGGGAGAAACAUUCAUAUAUUCACUGGCUAGGAGUUCAGUUUAUCUGUGCAAUGGUGAUUUUAAACAUCAGGCUCUUUGGCACCCAACAUAUAGGAACCAUAAAUCCUUCCCAAGAACGCUGCUGCCUGGGGCCUCUCUGCGGACUCCAACUAUUGAGAGGAGUGAAUUAAAAGCGGCAGUAAAAACCCCACAGCCAGUGCUACCGAGGUAGAUUUCACAGAUGUGAAUCCACCUCUGGAGCAAAUAAAUCUCUGCUCUGCGUUAACGACUGCCGGGAACCCAGGGGAGAAAACAUUGGCAGAAUACACAGCCCUAUUCCAAAAGCACAAGGACAAGUCCUUGCACGCUCCACGGUCUGUGAAAUGCACCAGCAUCUACCCUGGGUCCUGGCCGUGAGCUGUGGGCCUUGGAGAAUGCCUAGGAAGGGAGGCACACUUAGCCGUUCCGGCAGGGCUCUCUGCCCAGCACAGCGACAGCUUUUUCCAGGGAGCAGAUGGGAAACGGUGGAGGAGAUCUGGCCAAAGGACGAGGAGAAAAGAAUAUCGCUCUGCAAGAUAUUCACAGACACUACAUCAAAAAGCAGCUGUGUCCUCUGAAUCUGAGUGCCUUACUCCGCUCGACAUUUCAAAAUCUAAACUAAGCCCACCAUCAGUUUACCCAAGAGCUUCCUGGGGCUCAUUUUUUAUGGUUUUGGUUCUCGUUCUCAAACAGAAAAACAAAAAUGCCAACAUGAUCUAUGACUGUUGUUCUUUCGUGUUCCUUCCAACAGUACUUUCUGAUCCUUACACUCCUCAACUUCAAGUGCUGGCUGGUGUCUAGCUAAGCUCUGAAUACAGACAUGAAGGUCUGAAGUAUUAGAAAUACUAAAAAAAUCUGACACUACCAAUUCAUUGACUAAUACUGCAAAUCUUGCAGCAUUCUAUACCAAGUAUACUUUUAUAGUUUAAAUUAGUCCACUCCUCUAAAUACUGUGCAAAACUGAAUAACCCCUAAAAUGAAUAAACCACAGUGUGCUACAAGGAAGAAAACAGCUUUUGUCGGGGGAACAGAAUAAAAACUUCAACAACUGUGGUACCUGUGACUUUCAAAGCCUGCGUCACUUGCUAAUCACUAGCCGAGAAAGACAAUCCUCCUUUCCCCGUGAGUUUACUGAGGGUUCUCACUCUCUGGAGAAAAAUCCUGGCUCUCUGUAAUAAGCAAGCUUCAGAAGUAGCUGACCUGAGGCUGCUAGCGUCCCUCUCUCUGCAUGGACAGGUGACUGAUGUCCUUUCCGGGUGACUAAGAAAAGCAUGGGACUUCAAAAGAACCCCCCAGGGACUGGGGACAAGCCAGGAGACACAGUUGUAGCCCACAAUUUUUUUUUUUUUAGGCAGUCCUGGGCACUGAACACAGGGCCCGGCAAGUGCUGCACCACCGAGCUAUACCCUGACCCUUUCUAUUUUAUGUUCAGAUAGAGUCCUUCAAAGUGGCUAAGUUGCCCAGGCUGGUCUCCAGCUUGGGAUCCUCCUGCCUCAGCCUUCAGAGCAACUGGACGACAGGCAUCCACCACCUGCAUCCCUUAUGUUCUUCCUUUAGCCCUGCAGCCUGCCACCCCUCUCGCACGCACCUUGAUAUGGGACGCAUUGAUGUAGCCAGUGUUGUUCUCUUUGGUUGGCAUCAACUCCACACGGUUCUCCUCGUAAGGAACGACCUCUCGGAUCCGGCUGCGCUCAGCGUUUUCCGGCAGAGUCGCGGUGCUGAAAACGCCAUUGGCCUUUUUCUUUGGAAUCUGCUCGUAUUCUGUGAACACCAUGCCCUCUUCUAGCUUCUUUUUCAGGGUUCUGAACUGCAAUGGAAGUUAACCUUCAGCUCUCGCGACAUCACACCCAAAGACUCCAACCGAACCACCAGACAACUCUGAUAUUUACAGUGACAGGUGCCUGGAGGAGCACAAUCCUGGAUGAUCUGGUCUCAUUAUUAACCCUGUCACUAGCUUUUCUUGUCCAAUAACCAUUUUCCUUACCACUCAUGCUAUAAAUCAAACAAAUUUGUAAGAACCAAAAUUUAAGAUCAAUACUUUAGAUAUUAAUGCCUACCUAAAGUCAGAUUAAUCAGUUAAUCUUCAUUACCCACGCAGUCUUUUCUCCAUGUGCACAGCAGUUUUUGUUUUAUUUAUUUAUUUACUUUGGUACCAGGGAUCGAACUUGGGACCUCAUCCUUGCGAGGCAGGCGGUGGGAACCACUGAGGUAAAUCCCCGGCCC
rnacentral:lncRNA from 1 species